CAAGAGUGGAGCCUGCGGCUUAUUUGACUCGACAGGGGGGAGCGUGGCGGGUCCAGACAUAGUAAGGAUUGACAGAUUGAUAGAUAAUAUAAAGAAGAGUGUGGGUGUGGUGCAUGCCGGUCUUAGUGGUGGAGUGGUUUGUCUCUCCCUCCCCCCCCGGCGAGCCUUACUGCUAACUAGAUCGAUCAUCUUAUGGUCGUUAUCUUCUUAGAGGGACUAUGUAACAUAAAUACAUGGAAGUUUGAGGCAAUAACAGGUCAGUGAUGCCCUUAUAUGUCCUGGGCUGCACGCGUGCUACACUGAUGUAUACAACAAGUGCCUAGUCAGACAUGACAUGGCAAUCUCGAAUAUGCAUCGUGAUGGGGAUAGAUCUUUGCAAUUAUAGAUCUUGAACGAGGAAUUCCUAGUAAGUGCAAGUCAUCAUCAAGCAUUGAUUAUGUCCCUGCCCUUUGUACACACCGCCCGUCGCUCCUACCGAUACCGUUAAUCCGGUGAACCUGUGGACCCUUUGAGAAAAACAAGUAAAUCAUAUCACCUAGAGGAAGAAACUCCCCCUUUUUCAAUACUCAAGACAUUUCCCUCCCCGGCCGGUUUG
rnacentral:rRNA from 1 species